CCUCCAGCUCCUUCUUCUGUGUUCAUUGAAGACUGCCCGAGUGUGGCCUGGAGCUUCUGUGCAGUCUGCUCACUGGAAUGUUGUGCAUGAUGGUUUCAUUUUUUUGCAUGACUUCAGUUACCGUGUCUUCAUUUGAUGCUGGUUUUGUCAAAUGUGACUGUGCUGAGAUGUCGGGAGUCCAUCUGACAUGAGAUGAACUAACGUGAACUAACUCUACUGCUGCUCGUCCGUAGUGUUUAAUAGUCCUGAGGGACAUACAAAGGCAUAAGGUUAAAUUGAUUUUGGGGUUCAUCUCAAGAAGAGAUACAAACAUUGCUCUAACUUUCACAAAACUUGUCUGAAUCUAAUUUUCCUCCUCAAGAAGGAUAGCAGCAUUAGAAUUUAGGUGGUCUUCUAGUCCACACCACCAUGUCCUCUCUGUCACCAGUUAUGGUCGGUCACAUGAAGCCACGAGUCUGCACAUCAUGUAGAGCCUGCUUUUGCCUCAUAGCCCAGCCAGAGCCUCUGCAGAAGAAAGCUAUAGGGGGUCCAUGAUUUCUUUCUUUCUAGCAACUUAAAAGAGUUCCCCAAGUUUGAUGGCAUUAUACCUGCUCCCAUCACCUGCCUGCUGUUUCAACUCCUGUGCUGUUCAAGGCUCUCUGGUGGCUGCUGAGUUAAUUUCCUCUGGGGUCAUAGAAAACUACAACAGACCCUCUAGUCUACUAAUUAGUGUACAGAAUCGCCCUUUAGAUUAGUAUAAUUAGUGAGAUUUUUUUGAGACUUCUUAAGGAAGGGAAUGUGGGUAUAUAGCCCUGUUUCAUGGACAAAGAAAAACAGUUCCCUGAAGAAGAGGCCAGUCACACUGCUAAUAAGCAGCUCCUUGACGUCUCUAACUCUGUACUCAAUCUGCUUAAGGCUGUUUUAAAAGGCAAAAGAAAGCCUGUGUAGAGGCAUGUCCUCCUGUAACGCCUGCACUCUAGGGGUUAAGGCACGAACAUUUCCUCUUUCAGUAUUGUGGCCCUCUCUCAAAAACAGAACCAGAAAGGGGUGGCAGGGAGAACCUCAGAAUGAUAAUGCCAGUAGAAGCCAUCACUUUUUAGAAAAUGGUUAUGCUUCUGUCUUCUUAGGAAAAAUGUCAUCAAAAACUCAUGUAAGUGAUGAGGCCAAUCUGUAAUUCUGUCAGUGUGUCUCCAGUAAGGUUUUUAGGUCCCUCUUCUUAAUCUAUAACUGCCUUUUUUUUUUUUUUUUUUUUGUACAAAGAACAUAUUUUUGAGUCGGCUCGAGUUGCUUUGUAGUUCUGACAUCAAUGCUCAGACUCUCAGGAUUCAUUCUCUUCAAAGUCAUGUUGAGCUGCAUGAUGAAGAUGUGCACACCACAUAGAAUACUCUGUGGAGUAAACGCAUACACACUUUUUAUUCACUGGUUUCCAGUGUAAAGACAACACAGAGCAUGUGGCUGACUAAGACCCGAGGUCUGGGACCUUAUCACUGUAGAAUGCUCACUGCUCCUGUUCUCUUAACCCUGUGAGUGAGUGAAGAUUACCUGAGAUGAAUGGUGUCUCCACGCUUGCCCUCCUUACACGUAAGAACACGACUAUGCCAUAGCUACCAUAGCAGACCCGUAAGGACAAAUACACUUUUUACAGGUAAUUUUAGGUUUUGUUUGCGAUAGGGUCUCAUAUAUCCCAGUGUGUCCUGAACUACCUGAACUUCUGAUAAUCCUUCAUCUACUGGGACCAUAGGUAUGCACCACAGUUCAGAUUUUUUUGAGGUACUGGGAUCUGAGCCCAGGGCCUCCUCUAUGCUAGGCAAGCAGAAUCAAGUGACCUCUAUCCCUAGUGCGUGGUUCUUUAUUGGGGGUGGGGAGAAGGACACGUGUUGCUGUCUGCAGUGACCGAGAGGCCCAGGAAUACAUGGUACAUGGCACCUGACUUCUGAACCUUACAGUAUAGACAUCUGCCAGUAUUUCAGUAAUUAUUUCAGUAGCUAGUCUUUCCCUACCCCUUGUGCCAUACAGUUCUCUGUGACCUCACACAGCUGUCGCACUCCUAAUUCACACCGCCACUGUUGUUUUUGUUUCUCAAUAAUUGAUGCAUGCUAGAAUAAAAGUCCAUUUGGUCCAGCUGCUUCUAUCCAGUGUGAGCUUCAGGAGAGGCCCUUCCAUACCUGGAGAGCGUCAGUCAGGCUCCCUCUGAACCAGAUGCUUUGUUGGAGCUACUUAGGGAGUGCCUGGCCAGGCUUCGUCCUGACACAGAGGCAGGAGUCCUGACACAGAGGCAGGAGCUCGUUAGGGGGUGCCUGGCCAGGCUCGUCCUGACACAGAGGCAGGAGCUCGUUAGGGGUCUUUGGAGAGCCCUGUAGCCCUGCUUGAAUGAAUUGUCUAGAUUUAGACCCACUUAGUAUAACAGGAGCCCAGCUAGGUCCUUUACCUCUCACUUCUCUUAUACCAUAGAAGACUGGGAAGCUAUUUCUCCAUCUUCUUUCAUAAAACUUAGCUUUAAUAAAACAUUUAAAAAAAUAAAAAUUAAGAAUCAAAUUUAAUGUCAUUUUAAGUCAGUUACAACUAAAGUGGCAAAAACCUUUAACCUCAAAUGUGAAUUCUGAUAGCUUCUAAAACAAAUGGUUUGAGAAUGAGCAGACAACUAGCUGAAAAACUUCAGUCAGGAGGACAUACACCCUAGAACAGUAAAAUGUACUUAAACCCAGGAGAAACUUAUGAUGGUUUUGUUGCCAGUGCCUCAGUACCUCAGGAGUUUACAAAAGAGAUAGGCUUCAUCUCUGGAUGAUGCUAUAGCAAAAACACAGAUGGCAUUGCAAUGGUGUCGGUCACCAGAGGGGGACCAGCUCCACCAGCACCAGUAUGGAAGGCAUGGUUGCCACUGUACUUCAUAUUAAACCCCUAAUUGUGGGUGACAUUAGGGUCUCGGGCAAAGGAUAGUAAGCAGAGCCUUUCCUCAAGUCGCACUGUAGAUUUCUGAUAACACUAAAAAUCAGAGGUGAAGAAGUGAAAGGUUACCAAGGAUGAGGACGGUGUCCUAGUAUUUUAGAGUAUCAGUCAUGGUAAAUCUUGAGUGUAAAUCUGGCAGUUUGUAUGAUUUUUGGUCUAGUUUAAGUAUUUGUUCUCAUGAAUUUUUGUGUCAUUAACCUUACAUAAACUCCUCAUUGCAUGUUUUAUUAA